UACGUAGGGUGCGAGCGUUGUCCGGAAUUACUGGGCGUAAAGAGCUCGUAGGUGGUUUGUCGCGUUGUCCGUGAAAACUCACAACUCAAUUGUGGGCGUGCGGGCGAUACGGGCAGACUGGAGUACUGCAGGGGAGACUGGAAUUCCUGGUGUAGCGGUGGAAUGCGCAGAUAUCAGGAAGAACACCCGUGGCUAAGGCGGCUCUCUAGUACGGUACUGACGCUGAGACGCGAAAGCGUGGGGAGCAAACAGG
rnacentral:rRNA from 1 species